rnacentral:lncRNA from 1 species
AUGCAUAUUUUUUAUUGUUUUUUCUUUAAUUAUCUUAGUUUGCUGAGAUUUGUUAACAAGGUAACAUUGGGCCUCUAUGCGGUAUUUUAGCCACCUACUUGAAACUCAAUGAGUUUCCUUCUUUUAUCAUGAUAACUAUUUUCCUAAUUUGGGACUCUUUAUUUAUCUCAUGAAGCACUACCACUUUGUCGGUGGUUUCUUGAUUAAUCUCUAGGUCCUAACACAAGGUUGUCAGAAGUCUCGGAUCAACAUGAAUUAUAUACAUAUGCCAAUAUAAUUCAUUUAAAGGAAUCAUCUAAAUACUAGAGUUGCAAUUAUUGUUAUACUUGAACUCUAUAAGUGUAAAGAAUCUAUAUGAGCACCAACCCAGAUAUAACACAAAAUCUCUCAACGUGUCCAUUAAAGAUUGACAUGUUCAUUUAGUUU